rnacentral:rRNA from 1 species
UACGGGGGGAGCAAGCGUUGUUCGGAUUUACUGGGCGUAAAGGGCGCGUAGGCGGUCAGCACAAGUCAGUUGUGAAAUCUCCGGGCUUAACUCGGAAAGGUCAACUGAUACUGUGCGACUAGAGUGCGGAAGGGGCAACUGGAAUUCUUGGUGUAGCGGUGAAAUGCGUAGAUAUCAUGAGGAAUACCAGAGGCGAAGGCGGCUACCUGGACAAUUGCUGACGCUCAGGCACGAAAGCGUGGGGAGCAAAAGGG